rnacentral:sRNA from 1 species
AUGCCUGGAGGUUCUGCUGGGACGCGCGCUGGGGGUCCAGACCUCGAGCUCUCUAAUAAGGGAAGGCUGGGGGCCUGGACCCCUGAGUUCAUGGAGAGGAGGGGAGGGGGGCCCGGAUUCCCGGGUGUCUGAUACCUGCCUGGGAAGCCGGCCUCCAGGGUCAUCGGGAGGGCCUUGUUGCUGGUGGCGGCCUUGGCGGGCCUGGGCUUGGGCCUGAGCCUCAUUUUCAUCGCUGUCUACCUCAUCCGUUUCUGCUGCUGCCGGCCCCCCGAGCCCCCCGGGUCCAAGAUCCCCUCGCCCGGGGGAGGCUGCGUCACCUGGAGCUGCAUUGUUGCCCUUCUCGCCGCACUGGCAUUGGCAUCGGUUUCUAUGGCAACAGUGAGACCAGUGAUGGGGUGUCCCAGCUCAGCUCCGCGCUGCUGCACGCCAACCACACACUCAGCACCAUUGACCACCUGGUGUUAGAGACGGUGGAGAGGCUGGGCGAGGCGGUGAGGACAGAGCUGACCACCCUGGA